rnacentral:rRNA from 1 species
UACGUAGGGGGCGAGCGUUGUCCGGAUUUAUUGGGCGUAAAGGGCUCGUAGGCGGUCUGUCGCGUCGGGAGUGAAAACUCAGGGCUUAACCCUGAGCCUGCUUCCGAUACGGGCAGACUAGAGGUAUGCAGGGGAGAACGGAAUUCCUGGUGUAGCGGUGGAAUGCGCAGAUACCAGGAGGAACACCGGUGGCGAAGGCGGUUCUCUGGGCAUUACCUGACGCUGAGGAGCGAAAGCUAGGGGAGCAAACGGG